rnacentral:rRNA from 1 species
UACGUAGGGUGCAAGCGUUAAUCGGAAUUAUUGGGCGUAAAGCGUGCGCAGGCGGUUUUGUAAGUUUGUCGUGAAAGCCCCGGGCUCAACCUGGGAAUGGCGAUGAAGACUGCAAGGCUUGAAUCUGGCAGAGGGGGGUAGAAUUCCACGUGUAGCAGUGAAAUGCGUAGAGAUGUGGAGGAACACCGAUGGCGAAGGCAGCCCCCUGGGUCAAGAUUGACGCUCAUGCACGAAAGCGUGGGGAGCAAACAGG